CUGAAGGAAGUACAAAAUCUGUCUCUGCUGCUCUAUAAGGGUCUGCUGCUGGUCAGUGAGUCGUACUAACUGCUGCUCCAUCUGAGUCUGGCGAUCAGACAUGUGAGUAACCUGCAGCUCUAGAUGACCCAUGGCAUCAUAAAAAUCAGAUAUAGUCCGAGAAGAUAUACCCUGCUCGGUAGACCUGCCUGUACUAGCAUCUCCUCUAGGAGCCUGCUCAGGCUCUGUAUCAGCAGGAGAAAC
rnacentral:lncRNA from 1 species